GCCGGGCGUGGUGGCGCACGCCUGUAGUCCCAGCUACUUGGGAGGCUGAGGCAAGAGAAUCGCUUGAACCCAGGAGGCGGAAGUUGCAGUGAGCCGAGAUCACGUCACUGCACUCCAGCCUGGGUGACAGAGCGAGACUCCGCCUCAA
rnacentral:SRP_RNA from 2 species